UAAUUUGUAUUAAAAAAAAAAAAAAAUGAACUGUCAGCUCUUUUACUAAAGUUAUAACAAGCUGAAAGCUAGGACAUUCCCCCCCUUACUAGGCUUUCCUGGAAACCCUCUUGCAAGGUUCAGUGAAUGUGUUGACAUCCGUAAAACAAAUCAGAUGUUCACCUCUUACCGGAUGCUGUAGGUCAUGGAUUUUGUCCGGCCCAGAAGGGAGGCCAUCGUCUGACUCCACGGCUCCAUUGAUUUCCCCAAAUCCUUCACCCUUGCCUAAACAAAGGAAGAGUACCGGACCCAAGGUCGCCAUCACCAAUGUUUGUAAAACCAUAUUCCGUCACUUUGUAGUAGUUACGUUUCAGUUCGUAAAUGAAAAUGUCCAGGGUCGAGAGGCUCCCCCAUUAAAAACUUUAUACCCCACGCCUAAAAUGCUGCCCCCACGGCAGUAUUUGUGCCUCUAUGACAACCCUACAGGACAUUCCAUCUAAACAUGGAAGAUCAGUUUUGUGAAAUAAGGUCUGUUCGUUUCAUAUUAGAGACCCCCCCCCAGUGUAGUUCUUCAGGUGGAUGCAAGUUGUGUCGCAGUCUCAUUUUCAUUGCCGCCAAUUUUUUUGUUUCUUUUUUUUUUUUUUUUUUUAUUGAAUAUAUAAAACGUAUCCUGUUCCUUAUGGCCAAAGGCAUUAUGCACAUACAACUCCAGAAAAUAACUUCUGAGAUAGUAAAAGUCUUUCAAUAUUCUUUAAAAAUUAUAUUAAAAAAGAAAAAAAAAAUCUUAUGUGAGCUGGCUCCGAAAAAUAACUUAAUUAGCAGGUAGAUGAAAUAAUAAUAAAAAAAAUAUAUAUUUUUAAAGAAUGCAGCAUAAUGUCACUUAACAAAAAAAAAAAUAAAAAAAAAUGUGCCAUGACAUACAAUGCUUAUAUUAGGAGUCACGUUUCUUCCAACCAAAGUGGCUACAAGAGAAGAAAAAUGGUGCUUAUGAUAGAAAUUUAAAUAGUUUGUGUACAGGUUUCCCAUUUUAUCUUAAUCGAUGUUACAGAAUAUUCUUUAUAUCUAUAUAUAUAUAUAUAUAUCUAUCUAUAUAUAGUUUAUAUGUAUUUAAAAAAAAAAAAAGCGUCAUUUUUGUCUUUUUGAAAAGAGCCCACUGCAAUCCCUCCCAAUGUUUUCUAGUUUCGAAAAGAGAAAAAAUAAAUGAAAAUAUUGACAGUAUUAAUCUUAUUUUUCUAUUUUCGUAUAUUGUUAUAUAUCACUAAUAUACUUUAACUCAUAACUGUGAGUGAAGAGCUUGCCGACUUGCGUAGCGGAACAGUGAAAAACAAAAAAAUUGUGUUUCUUUGGAUUUAAACGUUGAAGCACAUUAUUUUUUCUUUCUUUUUUUAUUUUAAUUAUACCAAAAAUAUGUAUAAAACACUAAACUAUAUACAAUUCAUAACUUGGGGUAUUUAAAGCCCAUACUUUUUUUUUUUUUUUUCUGACCCCUUUGUACAGUGAUGUAUUUUAUAGCCCGAAUGUUACCGUUUUUUUUUGCGUUGUGAUAAAUCUGACAUUACUGUAUUUAUAUUGGGUUUUUCUUUUUUUUUUUUUUUUUUUUUUUUUUUUACCCAUCAAGUCUACAUACAUCAUCUAUGUUUACAGAGACUUGUGUGCUGUGCAUAGCCCUCAAUACUGACCUGCUCUGUUGCUUCUUUUUGUUUCUCUCUUGCCUGUUUCUGUAAAGACUUCUGUACCCGUUAAAGGUUUAUGCUAAAAAAUAUUUCAUUGAAUUUAUCAUAUGGUUCUCGUUCAGUCUCCCAAAACGAAAUACCCUGCUCUCCUUAUGUCUGCAGACCUUUGCACUUUUAAGUAGGCGCUCCACCCAAAAGGCAAGUUUUCAGAUAUGGGAAGUGUUCAGCAGAAUCCACCCCACCCAGAGGCUUCCCAAUGCUGAGGUCUUCUCUGCCACAGCCCCUCAUCCUGCUGACUCCUACCUACCCUGUUAAUUGCGUUUCUCCUGCAAAAAUCGAAUUUGGGUAAAAUCGGAGAUCAAACAUUUGGGGACCACCUUCUGAAGAUAGUGGGGGGUGGGGGUCAUCAAUUUGAGUCCGCUCCUGCCACCUUCCUGUUUCCGAAAAGAAACCGGGAAAAAAAGUGGUUUAUGUGUAACUUUAUGUACAGUUUUUUUUUUCCUUCAUCUUCGCCACCUCCUAGACGGCCAUUGUGAAGAUGUACCUGUGAAAGGCGGCCAUUAUGGAAGUGUCACACUUUCACGGCAAGCCUUUAUGGAGGUGUCAUUUUUUUGACAGCUGGCUUAUAUGUUGGUGGUACUCUCCACGAUAGUAGACCGUUGUGGAGGUGUCACUCUCCACCACAGCUGACCAUUAUGGAGGUGUCACUCUCCACCACAGCUGACCAUUAUGGAGGUGUCGCUCUCCACCACAGCUGACCAUUAUGGAGGUGGCAAUCUCCUUGACAGCUGGCCGUUAUGGAGAUGUCACUCUGGGACAGCAGCCUGGUAUGGCGGAUGGGGUCAUCAAUUUGAGUCCGCUCCUGAUGCCUUCCUGUGGCACUCUGGGACAGCAGCCUGGUAUGGAGGUGUGGCUUUCUGGGACAGCAGGCUGGUAUGGAGGUGUGGCUUUCUGGGACAGCAGGCUGGUAUGGAGGUGUGGCUUUCUGGGACAGCAGGCUGGUAUGGAGGUGUGGCUUUCUGGGACAGCAGGCUGGUAUGGAGGUGUGGCUCUGGGACAGCAGGCUGGUAUGGAGGUGUGGCUCUGGGACAGCAGGCUGGUAUGAGGGUGUGGCUCUCUGGGACAGCAGGCUGGUAUGGAGGUGUGGCACUCUGGGACAGCAGGCUGGUAUGGAGGUGUGGCACUCUGGGACAGCAGGCUGGUAUGGAGGUGUGGCACUCUGGGACAGCAGGCUGGUAUGGAGGUGUGGCUCUCUGGGACAGCAGGCUGGUAUGGAGGUGUGGCUCUGUGACAGCAGGCUGUUAUGGAGGUUUCCUUUUGCCAGCUGGUCUCGCCAAUCCUAUAUGAAACGGAAUCAAUCGAGUGGUGGCUCCAUCGUGUGGCUUUACCACAGUGGUUUGAGUGCCCAAGCGAUAUUUUAGAAGCCUUAGUGUUCUCAAACUUGCCCCCAUUCGGGCUAAACUGAAAUCUCCAUUUUGGGUGGAGUCAGCCCUUCAAUGGUCCCCGAUCCACACUCAGUGAAGGAGUUGUGAACUAGACCCUCUGUUUUGGUAAACACCGCCUAUGGAAUCAGGAUGAUCCAAUAACAUCCCUAGGUCCUGGAGGAACAAUAGGUUGCCGAAUGGUUUAGUCCAUAAAAUAUCUUCCUCCACUCAGUGGGUGACAGGGACUCUUUAACCCCUCCCACCCCCAACCGUUUUAUCAGAAUAUUAUUGGUCUUAUUAAUGGGUAAACAUAUAUAUUUGUAUCAAAACAGAUGUCGCAAAGUGCCAACUUAACGAUUCCACAUACUAUAUAUGAACAUAUAUAUUUUUUUUACUUGUAUUUUGAAGUCUUCUAAAAAAAAAAAAAUUCAAUGUGAUGAACGGAAACUGAAAACAGAAACUUUUUUUUUUUUUGUUUCUAAAUGUUGACGCUUUGACCAUGUAGGUGGUAUGUUCCUGGCUUCAAGCUGUACUGAACACUGGCCAUUAGAUGCUCCUCGGGGGUGGGGAAGACUCGCCUCUCCACUUUCUAUGAGCGAGUUGCAGUGCUGUGCUUGGCGAGGGCUCCUCGAAGUCCGAUUCACUGCCAAGUGCGAGGGUUUACCGCUCGUGAGCGCGACCCUACUAUCGCUUUUUUUUUUCUUUCCUUUUUCCAGCCAUUACUUGUAAACUGGAACUGUACAUUUUGUAUUUUACUUCUAAAGCUUCUGUAAGUAAAAUAACUAUUUGCUUUAUUAAAGAUACAUUUAAUAGUGUGACAUUA